rnacentral:misc_RNA from 1 species
GUAGGGUACGUUGUCUAUUCCUUUCCUUAUUUUUUGUAUAUUGCUAACAUACCGUUCAGUGAACCUGCGGAAGGAUCAUUAUUGAAGGGGACCUCCGGGUCCAACCUUAAACCCUUUGACUUAUUACCCGUUUCUUUGGCGGCUUGCCGUCAGAAGUUUUCUCAAACCCAUUAUAAACAUGUCGUCUGAACAACAAAUAAAUAAAAUAAAACUUUCAACAACGGAUCUCUUGGUUCUG